rnacentral:rRNA from 1 species
GCUAAUACCGGAUAACAUAUUGAACCGCAUGGUUCAAUAGUGAAAGGCGGCUUUGCUGUCACUUAUAGAUGGAUCCGCGCCGUAUUAGCUAGUUGGUAAGGUAACGGCUUACCAAGGCAACGAUACGUAGCCGACCUGAGAGGGUGAUCGGCCACACUGGAACUGAGACACGGUCCAGACUCCUACGGGAGGCAGCAGUAGGGAAUCUUCCGCAAUGGGCGAAAGCCUGACGGAGCAACGCCGCGUGAGUGAUGAAGGUCUUCGGAUCGUAAAACUCUGUUAUCAG